rnacentral:rRNA from 1 species
AGUGAACGCUGGCGGCGUGCUUAACACAUGCAAGUCGAGCGGAGAUGAGGUGCUUGCACCUUAUCUUAGCGGCGGACGGGUGAGUAAUGCUUAGGAAUCUGCCUAUUAGUGGGGGACAACAUUCCGAAAGGAAUGCUAAUACCGCAUACGUCCUACGGGAGAAAGCAGGGGAUCUUCGGACCUUGCGCUAAUAGAUGAGCCUAAGUCGGAUUAGCUAGUUGGUGGGGUAAAGGCCUACCAAGGCGACGAUCUGUAGCGGGUCUGAGAGGAUGAUCCGCCACACUGGGACUGAGACACGGCCCAGACUCCCACGGGGGGCAGCAGUGGGGAAUAUUGGACAAUGGGGGGAACCCUGAUCCAGCCAUGCCGCGUGUGUGAAGAAGGCCUUAUGGUUGUAAAGCACUUUAAGCGAGGAGGAGGCUACUGAGACUAAUACUCUUGGAUAGUGGACGUUACUCGCAGAAUAAGCACCGGCUAACUCUGUGCCAGCCGCCGCUGUAA